rnacentral:lncRNA from 10 species
GAUUCUCAGCGUCCUCUCCGGUGGAGGACAGAAGGCAUCCCAGGGUCGCGGGAGAGCCAGCGCAAAGUGGAAGGCACCUUGUACGCUGUGAAGCGGAGAUGCAGAUGUUACCCUAACCAGAAGCCCACCCCGCCACAAAUACUGGAGCGCCCAGCAUGCGUGCGCCACCCGCUUCCCUGCAGAGGGCGCCGCGGGCCCGCCUCGCCGAGCGCGGGGUGAGAUCCCAGUAGCCCAGAGCAGCCCGCGGGGCAGGCCCGGGCUGCCGCGGACUCCUCUUGAAAAGCCUUUGAUGCUGUAUUCUUAGCACAUGGAACCCUAAACCAAAGCCUGCACUGGGGCAUUUGUGAGAAGCGUGUGUGCAAAGCCUGAGAGACUCCCCUUUUGGGCAUGCUGCUGGGCAGGGGUGUUCUGGUUUGACUUUGUACAUCCUGGAAUACAGACAUGAUGGCUACCAUCUUGGACUAUGAACAUGAGGAUCACACCCAAGGGAAGGAGAGGCAGCAAGCUGGAAGGUACUAUGGAGCAGAACUGCCACAGCCUGAGUACCUACCUCUGGAACUUUCUGUGAGAAAUGAAAUGGGCCCAACAGUUCCAUAAACAGUUGUUUUGGGAUAAACAUAGAAAUGGCCCCUAGCUUGAAAUUUGCAUUUGUUUUAUCUGAGUUCCCUCCUCAGGAAAGGACCUUCAGGCCUCUCAAAAAAGUAUCAAGAGAACUGACACCAGAUGCCUCCUUGCCCCUCCCUAGUUCCUGUUUUCUUAAACAUUGUUACAUAUCUUCCCUGCUAUGUAAGCCCCUAGAUUUAGUCAGUCAGGGAGAUGGAUUUGAGACUGAGCUCUCAUAACUUGGCUGCAGCACCCGAUUAAAGCCUUCUUCCUUGGCAAUACUUAUUGUCUCAGUGAUUGGCUUUCUGUGCGUCAGUACCUAGACUGAAC